CUUUCUUGAAUUAUUUAGGUUUGUCUAUUGUUGGUUAUACUGUUGUUGUUCUUGGUGUACUUUCCCUUUGUCCCUUUUGGUUAAUUACAUUGUUUUCAGUUCCAAAGAUUGAUCCUAGUAGAUGGUUGAUUUUAGGCCAAAAGGGUGUUAAAAUAGAUUGGAACUUGUUUUUUAAUACCCUUUUUUGGAAUUUGAAUUUUUGGGAUAAUGCUAGUACUUUAGCUGGUGAAGUUGAACAACCUCAAAAGACAUUUCCUAAAGCACUUUUUUCAGCUGGGAUUGUUACAUGUUUUAGUUAUGUUUUGCCACUUUUGGGUACUACUGGUGUUGUUCCAUUGGAGCAAAGUAAAUGGACUGCUGGGACUCACACAGCUGAUUUCUUUUAGGAUAUUACUUUUGUCUUUUGUGACUGAAUUAUUAGGAAACGCUGUUUUUUUAGUAGUGUCAUGGCUGCCUUGAAGAACUUGAUGGAGUAGUUUUUGAAAAUAUUUUACUAUUGGUGGUGUCAUGUCCACCAGCUUCUUGCUUUCUUGAAUUCAUGAUCAACUUGAUUUCGUCAUCAUUGAUCUAUAGAAAUUCAACAAAAAGUUAACAAGAAGAUAAAUGAUAUCUGUUAGAGAGGGUAGUAUAACAAAAAUUUAAACAAGAUUACACUACACAAAUGAAUAUAUUUUGGAAAAUUAAUGAAGUAGUUAGUUUGCUGGUUAAUCUUAAGUAUGAUGAUAUAUUAGUCUCAAAUGAAGUCUUAUAUUAGCUUCUAUUAAUUCUUUGUACAUUCCUCGUCCUUGACAAGUUACUUAUUUUAAGCUAAGUUAUGAAUAAACAGGUCAUUUCAAUGAUUAAAGGAUAUCAACAGGGACUAGUAUUUUCUUAUAUGUUAUUUUCAAUCUCAUUUUUACACAAAAAUACAAAAAACUUCUGUUGCUAAUUUUCUAAAAUGAGUAACUUUUGCAUAGGUUGUUGAAAAGGGUCGAGAUCCAACACCAGGUGAGGUACAUUUGCACGUCCAUACACAUGAUCAUGAUGGAGAAUCUUUUGUUGAUGAGCGUGCCCGAGCUGUCCAUGAAAGAUAUCAAGAAAUAUUACGGGAAAAAUCACAGUCUCAGACUGAUAUUGAUCAAUGUGAAGCAUAUUACGAAGCUGCUGGGGGGACAAGGAAAAGAAGAAUAUAUGGUCUUGGAUCUCAAGCACAAAGUUAUUAUGGGCCGAAUCUUAGCGUCAAUUCUGGGUUUAAUGCUUGGCAAAGAUGCCACCUUCAAUGUCUCAAUCGGACCGAAGAAAAAAUAUGGAGGAGUUAGUGAUGCGAUUGAUUCCUACAACGGAUCGAACGCUUGCUUCCUUUAUUUAUUGAGAAGGCACGCGGAGUGAUUUCUUCACCAUCACAUCAUCCAAAUACUCCUAUUGAAAAUCCAUCAGUUGUGACACCCAUAGUGCCUCCUACUACUGCUGCUAACGUUGACGAUGUUGAUCCUUUAGUUUCUGAUGAUGAUCGUAGUCCUUCACCCAUGCAUUAGUUUUUUAUGUUAUCUAUUUUUUUGUUGGAAAGAACAAAAUUAUGCACUAACAAUACUUGACGGAUGUGGGUUCUUUUGGUAGUUGAUAGCUUGGCCUUGUCGGUGUUUUGGACUUAACGAUGAGGAUUUCGAUAUCUAUUUUGAAUCUUUUUUGUAAAUGUUAUUUUAUGUGAAUGUUAGUUAUUUUUAAGGGUA